GGGGCCAUCGUCUAGGGGUUAGGACAUCGGAUUUUCAUUCCGACAACAGGGGUUCGAUUCCCCUUGGCCCUACCA
rnacentral:tRNA from 1 species